rnacentral:rRNA from 1 species
GACGAACGCUGGCGGCGUGCUUAAUACAUGCAAGUCAACGAUUUUAAGAUAGCAAUAUUUUAAAAUAGUGGCGCACGGUGAGUAACACGUAGAUAAUCUGCCUUUAGGUCUGACAUAACUCGUCGAAAGACGGGCUAAUAUCAGAUAAAACAAUAACUUGGCAUCAAGUAAUUGUCAAAAGCUUCGGCGCCCAAAAGAUGAGUCUGCGGACCAUUAGGUAGUUGGUGGAUUAACAGCCCACCAAGCCAACGAUGGAUAGCUGGUCUGAGAGGAUGAUCAGCCACACUGGAACUGAGACACGGUCCAGACUCCUACGGGAGGCAGCAGUAAGGAAUAUUGCUCAAUGGGAGAAAUCCUGAAGCAGCAACGACCG